rnacentral:rRNA from 1 species
AUGGACCGGAUAGCUGAGCUAAAAGGGAUAGGUGGAGCUCCAUUUAGGAAGAGGGAACAAGCGAGCUUGUCAGCAAAGCUCUUUGUACUCACCAGAAGGUCAUUUGUGAAUAUGCACAGGGGCAUAGGAUACUACUGGAUGCGCUUGGGUGUUUACCUGGGCAUUGGCAUUUGUCUUGGCACCAUAUUCUACCAAGUUGGCCAUAGUUACAGUUCCAUCCAGGUAUUCAGAAGGGAGAGGCCGAGUGGCCAUUACGGUGUGGAGGAGUUUGUGAUCUCACACACAUUGUCAGCCACUCCAUACCUUGCCGUCAUCGCUGUGAUCCCUGGCAGAAUGAUGUACUACCUUACCGGGCUAAUGAAAGGACCUGGCAGCUUCACCUACUUCGUCGUCAACCUAUGCAUGUGCACACUGCUGGUGGAGAGCAUGAUGAUGAUCAUUGCCAUCAUCGUCCCAGUCUUCCUGAUGGGGAUCAUCGUCGAGGCUGGGGUGCAAGGGAUUUGCAGAAAACCUUUCUUGAUUCUUGCUUUACCAUGGAGGUUGUCUACAAGGAUUCAAAAGACGACGAUUUGCUUCAACUGCAUUUGGAAGCAGCUGCUGGGAGCAUGGAAACCAUUCUGUUGUCUUACCAUCAAUUACAAUUACGGUCGGUGGGGCUGGUCGCCUUGGAUCUGCGAGAUGCCUUCGCAUCGGCAUGACGCUGGUAAGUUUAUGAUUUUGUUUGCGGAGAGGUUUAAUCGUUUCAACCGAUUCAAAUGCAAAAGGGAGUGUACUACCAGGUUGGCUAGAGGCUUGAUAUGGUUGGGGACAAAUGGGGUACGGCUCAGAUCCAAGACCUUAGGCAUGGACGCCAUGGACAUCUUAGGCAUGGACGCCAUGGACAUUGGUGUGAUUUGUGACGAGGGAUCUCCAGGUUCAACAUCGUCAAGGACAAGAACACCUGAACCUAGAGUAAUCUUCUAA